rnacentral:lncRNA from 1 species
CCUGACAACCAAGUACAAUGUACUCCAGGACAUCAUUGGGUCAGUGAUCACUGUAUAGCCAACCUAGCAAGAUGAUCAUUUACCUCUAAUGGGUACAUCCCUUCUGUUGACAUCACAAAGAGUCCAGCUUCCCUCAGGCAUUCCUGAGACUGACAGAUUUACGGUUCACCUGUUAACACCUCCUCUUCCUUCUGAUGAUGGUAAUGUUGAUGACAAUGCUGGUGUUGCCCUAUGGUCAGAUGCUGGGAAAGGAGUGGAAGUUGAAGGAGUUGGAGUUGGUGGCUUUACCUCAAGAACCACGCAUCCUUGAACCAUGCAUCCUUACACCGUGAACCUCCAUGGUGGUGUUCACCAGUUGGGUGAAGACUUCACUGGGUUCAUAAUCCUCUUUACAAGUUCCCUGUACAUUUUAUAGCCACUUCUCUCUGGCAGGUAGACACUACAUCCCCAGAAUCUAACAGACAUGGGUUCAAAUCUCAGCUCUACCGGUUAAUAGCUCUGUGACCUUGGACAAGUUGCUUUGCCUCUCUGAUGCUCAAUCUCCUCAAAAAAAAAAAGCUAUAACCUUUUGUUGUUGUUGUUAUUUAGUGGUAAUUUUAUCAUCCUCACAUCACAUUUGAGCAUAUGGGCCCAGAUAAGUUCAGUAGUGUGUUUGUGUCCACAAGUGAGUGUGAGUGACAAAGGCAGGAGUUGAAUCCAGUUUUGUCUGAUGCCAAUAUUUGUGUUCAUUCCAGCUAGAUGGUUGGAACCAGAUUAUCAGGCUGUUCCUGGUAACCAGAGGAGAGCCAGGCCCAUAGGAGAGGCCCAGAUAUAACUCUUAACCAGCUCUUGAGAUGCAGCAGGCACCAUUUUAAGGACUUCCUACAUAUAUGCUCAUUUAAUCCUCACUACCAUCAUAUAAAGUUGGUGCUGGUAUUAUCCCCAUGUUAUAGAUGAGGAAAUGGAUGGAUGGAUGGAUGGAUGGAUGGAUGGAGACCAUUAUCUAUUUCCCAAAUUAGCCAGAUCAUAGAAAUCACCUAGGGUCUUAUUAAAAAUCAGUUUCCUGGGCUCCCACAACUCCCUCUAACCCCUGGAAUUCUAUUUCAGUAUGUUUCAGUGGGCUCCAACCCCGGAAUGUAUACACAGUAGAGUCCUCUCAUAAGAUCUGUUGAGGUGUUUUGUUUUGUUUUGUUUUGUUUUUGUUUUUGUUUUUGUUUUGUUUUGUUUUUGAGCUAAAGCAAAGGUCUGUUUCUCAAACAAAAAUUUUGGUCCAAGGAUGACCGCCAUUAGUGGCUGGAUAAAGAAGCUAGUUCCCAUAAUUUAAGGAAGGGCUCUAGCAGAUUCAGGUCCACUUGUAAGUACUGUACUCAUGAACUAUAAGGUUGGCAGCCAACAAGAAUGGCAAUGUAAGAACAACUUACUGUCAAAAUUCUGAAGCCACCUGGGAGAUGACAUGGGUGGAUUGGGCUGAGAAGUGGCCAGUGUUUGAUGUCAGAAAUACUUGGGUUUAAUUAUGUGGUUUGUCUCUUGUUACAGUUGUGCCUCUCUGAGCCUCAACAUUCCUAUUUACAAAACAAGGGUGACAAUGCUUACCUUAGAGGGAUAUUUUGAAGAUAAAAUAAGGUAGUGGGUAGAAAACCCUUAGCUCAACACUCCUCCUCCUCAUCAUCAGUAGUGGCAGGUAAAUAAUAUAGCACACUUAGAAGAGGACCCAGCUCAUCCUCCUGCUGACCAAGAGCCACAGUGAUCUUAGUUGCUGUCUGGUAGGGGGAAGCCAAAGAAAAUAUUUCUCAGCAAGUAAAUCGGGAUUGGCCUUAUGAAGGUGCCCAAGUUCCUGAACCAGAGAUCACCAAAGUGGGGAGCCUCCCAGGAUGCAAGACAAUAUAUUCACUGCAACAUGUUGUAGAAAGAGAUUAAAGUGGUUCUCAAUAAAUAAAAAGACAUCUUAUGUUGAUUUAAGAUU